rnacentral:rRNA from 1 species
UAGCCGCAAUAUUUCUGUGCUAAGGUAGCAUAAUCAUUAGUUCACUAAUUAUGAAAUAGAAUGAAUGAUCCCACGAAUAAAUUAAUUUUUUUAUUAUUUUUAAAUAAACUCAUUCUGUAGUAAAAAAGCUCCAUUUUUUAAGAAGGACAACAAGACCCUGAUGAACUUUACUAAAAGUUAAACUGGGGCGGUUUUCAAGAACAUCUUAAAUUUUCUUACAAUAUCCAAAAAAUCUGACAUUUCUAAGUUACCACAGGGAUAACAGCAUAAUAAUUUUUUUAAGCUCUUAUUUCAAAAAUUUUUUAUGACCUCGAUGUUGAAUUAAACACCUAAUCUAAGCAAGAUUAGAAAAUAUAAGGAAGUCUGUUCGACUUUUAAUUUUUUACAUGAU